AGAGUUUGAUCCUGGCUCAGGAUGAACGCUGGCGGCGUGCCUAAUACAUGCAAGUCGAACGCUGGAGAUCUAGCUUGCUAGAUCGAAGGAGUGGCGAACGGGUGAGUAAUACAUAAGCAACCUACCCACGAAGACUGGGAUAAUCUCUGGAAACGGGGACUAAUACCGGAUAGGUAAUCGGAAGGCAUCUUCUGGUUAUUAAAGGUUAAAAACACUGGUGGAUGGGCUUAUGGCGCAUUAGUUAGUUGGUGAGGUAACGGCCCACCAAGACGAUGAUGCGUAGCCGGCCUGAGAGGGUGAACGGCCACAUUGGGACUGAGACACGGCCCAGACUCCUACGGGAGGCAGCAGUAGGGAAUUUUCGGCAAUGGGGGAAACCCUGACCGAGCAACGCCGCGUGAGUGAUGACGGCCUUCGGGUUGUAAAGCUCUGUUGUAAGGGAAGAACGGUAGAUAGAGAAUAUCUAAGUGACGGUACCUUACCAGAAAGCCACGGCUAACUACGUGCCAGCAGCCGCGGUAAUACGUAGGUGGCGAGCGUUAUCCGGAAUUAUUGGGCGUAAAGGGUGCGUAGGCGGCCUGUUAAGUAAGUGGUUAAAUUGUUGGGCUCAACCCAAUCCAGCCACUUAAACUGGCAGGCUAGAGUAUUGGAGAGGCAAGUGGAAUUCCAUGUGUAGCGGUAAAAUGCGUAGAUAUAUGGAGGAACACCAGUGGCGAAGGCGGCUUGCUAGCCAAAGACUGACGCUCAUGCACGAAAGCGUGGGGAGCAAAUAGGAUUAGAUACCCUAGUAGUCCACGCCGUAAACGAUGAAUACUAAGUAUUGGGGAAACUCAGUGCUGCAGCUAACGCAAUAAGUAUUCCGCCUGUGGAGUAUGCACGCAAGUGUGAAACAUAAAGGAAUUGACGGGGGCCCGCACAAGCGGUGGAGUAUGUGGUUUAAUUCGACGCAACGCGAAGAACCUUACCAGGCCUUGACAUCCCUUGCAAAGCUGUAGAGAUACAGUAGAGGUUAUCAAGGAGACAGGUGGUGCAUGGUUGUCGUCAGCUCGUGUCGUGAGAUGUUGGGUUAAGUCCC
rnacentral:rRNA from 1 species